CGUCAUCUCGUAGUAUGUGUACUCAUGCACUGUAAUGUUUGCUCGAAUGUCCAGAACUUCAAUCUGAGCAUCCAAACGAGGUAUAUCUGACCUUCUUCGGACCACUUGUGUCAAGAGUUACGCAAUGACAUGGAUUAGAGGUUGUACGAAGUCAGGAAGAGGGGUCUAUGCCCAUGGUCUUCAAGCUUCAAAUUCUAUCCAGAGUACUAUCACACGUAAUAUUCACUCGGGAUUGUCAAUCCUUGGUUCUUGUGGGAAAUUGUUGGAUGUAUGUAUGUAUGAAGUGUUGAGACGAC
rnacentral:lncRNA from 1 species